CGAAUAAAAAAUACAGUAGAAAAACCGAAUGUUGUAUUGUAACAGUACUAUUUAGAACCAUAUUGUUACAAUAAACACCACUGUAAAAAUAAAAAAUACAAAAACAAUAAGAUGUAAUGUUAGACACCAUACAGUGAAUUGUAAAUGAGAUUUUUACAAUAUACUAUACGGGUUGUUAAGUAUCGUAACAAUAUAAAAAAAUAUUUUUCUCCAUAUAUAUUUUUUUACAAAACCAUACAUUUUAUUGUAAAUGAAUUGUUCGAAAUACUGAUACGUGGGCUUUAAUAUACCGUACAUUGUAUGGUACACGUAUGGUUUCAAACAAUAAAAUGUACCGUAAAUAUAUUGUUUUUAAUUGUAAUUUCACUACUGGUUAUAAAUUUAAUCAUGGUUUUGGAAUGGUUCUCUUUUGUUAUGUUGUAUUGUUUUACAUUAGAUAAACCAUAUAAUGUUAUAUUAUCUCGUCAUGUUCCUUCGAUAAUGGCAGUUCUAGCCAAACUAACCUAAACUCGUCUAAGUCUGAGUAGCCUCUGAUUGCAUUAACAGUUGAAGCUUAAGCUCCCAUGUCCCACCAGCCAGAUAACCGGGUUUUGCAAACUAAGCAUUAUUUGUGGCAACACUUUGAGCGGCAUGAUGGAACUAUGCCUAGCGCGCUAAGUGUUAUUAGACCACUAAUGUAGUUGCAUGAAGUGGGUGACGAGGUACAUAAGUAUCAUUACAGCGUGCUUAACCAUUAUUGCAAUAUUGAGGCUCCAAUUUGACUGAACUAUGAAAUGUGUACAUAACAACUCAUGAGAAAACUGUCAAGUUCGAUUCAACUAUAAGUUAAGUUAAGAAGCGAAGACGAACUUAUUUUAGAAGUCGUUUCAGUGUCCAGUCCAGUCCUUAUGUUAUUUAAAAAUGUCAAAGAUAAAUCGCAUUUAAUUCGGUUGUUGUAGGGGUAGGCGGGGCAAUAUGGACACCCUAAGGUUUUUGCCAACUUUACCUGACGAGAUGUCAAAAAAGUUUAGUUUUUUGAUACAUGUAUCCUUUUGAAGUCUAUUUAGCAUCUAUUGCAUAAGAAUGCUCACGAAGAAAAAUGAUUUAUUCACUUCAAAAAAUGUUAUGAAAAAUGUUAGUUUUUCAUGACCGUCUUCAAGCAUACGGGGCAGAAUGGACACCCCCAUGGGGCAAUAUAGACACCAUGAGACUUUUACGUAUUUCGUACAUUAUUUAGACCUAUAAAGUCAUUUCAUUACAAAACAACUAUUAUGGAUGAAUAAUACGCCGAAGUAGUUCAUUUUUCUUCAGUUAAUUUAAAUUCAGGCUGUUUUGGAUAAAGCUUCGUUUUUGUCGGCAUGUACAGCUGUGCCUAGAACAACUAUUUUCUACUGCUGUCGUUUUUUGACCAAUUUGUUUCACCCUAUGUCUACUAUAGUGAACAUUUAACCGAAAAUAUACUGAAAUCGAAGAAUUUGGUUGGUUUGUGAUUUAGGCUAUAUUUUUCCCUUGCCGCUUCUUUCAAAAAGGUGAGUGUCCAUUUUGCCCCGGCAGCAGAAGAUAUUUCCAAACUUGAUUUUUGAUAUAAUAAAGAAGAAAAUAUAAACAUGUUAAGCAUGUAGAUACAGCAACACUACUUGCAUGUGUUCUAGAAAUAUCAGGUUUUAAUCGACCUGUAAUAAAUUAAUCACUAAAUCUUAUUUUAGAUGGUGUGAAAAUUAUAAUUUCCAUGCAAAAAAAAACGGAGGACGCAACUUUUUCGUAUAAAAUCAAGGUUAAUUUUAAUUUCGAUUGUUUCUUUCCUGAAACUACGUUUUAGACAAAUGGACUAUAUUCUCCAUUCAUUAAAAGUUCAAAAAAGUUCGCAUAUUUCAAAAUAUUGAGGGUGUCCAUUCUGCCCCGGGUGUCCAUAAUGCCCCGCCUACCCCUACAAGGCAAUUUCACAUGAGAGAAGAAGAGAAAGAAUAGUGUUGAACUCAUCCACUGAUUUACGGUAAUCUGGCCUGCGUCUUUCCGGGUUGACCUACAUUCGUAUUCCUCUCAUCGCACUCUACAUACCUAGCCCACCAUAUCUCUUGGAUAUGCAGUCCUUAGGACACCUGGUUUACCACUUUAUUUAAACAUUUUAUUGACUUUAAAUAGAUGUUUCAACUUAUUCACUUUUUUCUCUUUCAUUUCCUUUGCAACAAAAAUGUCACGGACAUCAACAAAACAAAGCACGGAAAAAAUCAUAAACUGGAUAAAAAAUUAAAAAUGCACGGAAAAAUAUUGUUUCGGAAUAGUGAAUGGUUCAAACGUAAUAAAAACAGUAUAAUAUAUUGUUACAUAAAGAUCGGAUGUAAAUGUAUAAUAGCUACCAAUGUGCAAAGCUUUUAGCGAACCAUUCCAUUACAAUACACUAUAUUGUAGCUGGUACACUGUAUGGUACAGGAAUGGUUUUCACCAAAUACCCUAUGGUUAGUUUUUAUCCGGGUGCCCUGUGGGUGCAGUUGAGUCCGGGUUGGAGUGGAAAGAGACCCUUCUUCUCGGUUUCGGUUGUACGGGCGGGGUAGUGUUUGUCUUAUUUGUGCCGUGUUGUGUGUGAUUUGCGGCUCGAGCUGCGUGGUUACUUGGAAAGUAGUGCUCUGUAAUCUAGAUUUUGGUUUUAAGGUGAAGCUAAGGCUGGGCUGUGCCUCGGAUUUGUUGGGCGUAGGUCGGGAGAGCUGGUGGCAGUUUGUGCUGGGGGGUUUGCUCGAUUUGUUAUUCACUGAUGGUGGCCAAUCGAUCGACUUAUCGGCGCUGCCUGUCAUUUUGGUUCUUGGGGUUUGUGCUCUCGAGGUUCGGGGCGUUGCUUCGUUGUAUCUUCGCUUUAAUACUAAUAUUCUUUGUUUGAUUAAACUGACUGUUUUUUACAGGUGUUUAACUCAUUCUAUUUCAUAGAUUGCCAAAUUUAAGGGUUAUGGCACUGUUGAUUCCGCUACGUCGACACUCCGUCGAGCCCCCGAUGCCCCAGUUUCGACCACACCCGACGGCCAUCAAAGGGAUUGUUUCGUGCACGAUAGACGUCAGACCCCGUAGGUAGAAACAAUAGGGACACAGAACAAGCAAGUGAAUGUGAUGACAUGCAGAUCACUCUAGAAGCUAAAAUUAAAAUAAUUUGGAUUAAGUGAAUUACUUAUGCUCUAAUGAAAUGAAUUCCAAGUGCUACUUAUUAUCUAACUGUUUAGAUACCAUGCAAGUAAUUUAAACAUCUAAAUGGUGAAACUCGUGAUCUAUAUGCUAGUUGUUUCUUAUUGCAGUUUUUGAAGUAGCUUACUGGAAUUGUACUACACAUGAAUUCGUAGAUAUAUAUAAAAUUACAGAUAAGGGUGAGACAGAUUAUUUGGCAAAAUGCUUUGAUUAUAUCUACAUAUAUUUUUUCUUUAAUAGCAUAAAUUUAAGGAAGUGCAUUCAAAACUAGUAACUAGGAUACAUACACUUAAACACUAAAUUGAACUACGACACUUGUCACAGGGAAGAAUUUAUAAGUUGAAGAAUCAACGCAUCAACUAGAACGGUUGAGCGGUAACGAAUUACUACAAGUAAAACGAAACAUAUUUAUUAUUGUCACCUACUAAAAUUAUGCUUUCUUGUAGGAAUUUUGUAAUUUAUUCUUCGUAUCAUCUCACCAAUAAAUUCACAUAAUUGACUAUUCGUCUAUUACCGCCCAACAUCUUACAAAAUUCUUGUAAGCAUCUUCCAAGAACGCCAAGUAUUAGACGACUGGUGCUAAUCGGUAGCUGGACACCAUGAGCACUACCAGUGGGAAGUCAGGAAACAGAACCGAACGCCAGGCUACUGAGGCAGCUGUAGUCACCGGAAUCGACAGCCUUACUAUCGUGGAUAAAGCGAAAAGCGGAGCGAAGGAUGCUGCGAAUCAGGUAACUGGCGCAGAAUGCGCAGCAGCUCUACAGCCUACAAAAACGGUCCUGAAUCCCAAGGCAGAUGAUGCAGUCGGUGCCGUCGCCGAGGAUCGUACGACGGGAACCAAGCCAAAGCAAGUAACUAAUCCAAGGGCUGCAGUCCCUGUCGACCCUCAACAAUUAUCGACGGCUCCAGCCGGUACGACAUUGUCCAGUAUACGAGUCAGAGUCACUAGAUUUAGCCAUUGCGAAAUGUGCAACGAUCGCGACAAUAGCAGGAUGGUGCAAUGCGAUAAUUGCAGUCUAUGGUAUCACUUUUCGUGCGUUGAUGUGACUAGUGGUAUAGCAGAUUAUAGCUGGGUCUGCCCUGCGUGUGCGGAAGAAAGCAGACAGCUGCACGGGACGUCAGCGCAUUGUGAGAUUCUACAUCAAGAUCCAUCGUCCAAUCAGUUGAGUUCUAAGAGGUCUCUUGGAAAAACGAGCAGCAAGCGAAGUGAGCAGCGAAGAAUCGAUCGUCGGCUACAGAAACUAGAAGAAUUAAAGGAACUGGAAAAAAGGUUUUUAGAAGAAAAAUAUCGCAUUCUGGACGAAGAAGACGACGACGUUGGAACGGUAACAAGCGAUGAUUCUAUGGCCACCAACGAAAUAGUAAAAAUUCAAGGUUGGCUGAGAGAGACGGAUCAAUGUGGUGAGGGCGACUCUGGGCUUGUCGAAGAGGAUGUGCGACCAAAUCCUGCUAUCGGCGGAAAUACGGGCCAUGAAACGCUUCAUGGGUUUGCGCCAAAUCAACGCUCUACGCCACGGAGUCAAAUCAAUCGUCAAGCACCAAGAUCAGAUUCGGCAGCGGCACGUGGUACCAAUAUGCAAUCCCACCGAAUGAUGGAUACUUUCAGUAUAUCCCGGUCCGAGCUGCGGUCUGGAACACGGAUGCAGUCCUACCCGACAAGAACUCUAGGGUGCCCAUCAGCAGCGAAAGUUCAUUUUCAGCAACCUGCGCAGCCAGAGAUAAGAAAUCAACAGCAUAUUAGUUCCGGGUCAGAUCGAAUACAACGACGUGAACGCUACCCAUCGUUAAUCGACGAGCCAGAACAUGACCAACAUCUAGACGAAGAUUCUUUAUGCGUUCUAAAUCGGAGUCAAUUAGCGGCGCGGCAGGUCGUGCCCAAAGAUCUUCCGGAAUUCAGCGGGAAUGCAGAGGAUUGGCCUCUGUUUUAUUCGACGUACAAUUCUUCGACACACAUGUGUGGUUUUUCUAACGAGGAAAACAUGCUUCGUAUUCGAAAAUGCUUAAAAGGCAAAGCCCUCGAAGCCGUACGAUGUCGGCUCCUUCAUCCGACUAACGUUGCCGGUGUGAUGUCUACGUUAAAAAUGCUGUAUGGUAGACCCGAAGCGAUUGUGCACGCGUCGAUUAGGAAGAUCAGAUCACUGCCAGCACCGCAAGUGGAGAAACUUGACACCUUGAUCAACUUUGCGUUGACCAUAGAAAAUUUGGUCGCAACCAUCGAAGCGUGUGGCGUUCAAGAUUUCGUAUACAAUGCAUCGUUGAAGUUUGAACUGAUCGAUCGGCUUCCCCCCGGUUUGAAGUUGGAUUGGGCGAAGCAUUCCAGGAAUAACCCAGCGCCAAACCUUACGGACUUCAGUUCUUGGUUAUAUGCAAUCGCAGAAGACGCCAGCACCGUAAUGCAAACUUCCAGUACCUCAGCCAGAAGCCGAUGGACAAAAAGCGAUGGAUUCAUCAACGUGCAUGCUGACGCUGACUGUACAAAUCUGCGAUCAUUGCAAGCAGACAGGCCAGGAUCGCAAAGUUCAUCGUUAGUAGAACUACCAGAGUGUAUCGUUUGCAAAAACGACUGCCAAUCAGUGGCCAAAUGCAAACGAUUUACUGAACUCACUCUGGACGCUAAAUGGGACGUAGUUAGAGAGGCGAAGCUAUGCAGGAAAUGCUUACGUAGGCAUAACGGAGUGUGUCGUCAGCAAAAACCGUGCGGUACAAGAGGAUGCACCUUUCUACAUCAUCCCUUGUUACACAAUGAGAGAUCGCAUGUUUCAAAUGGACCAUCGGAAACACCUGCCGACGCGUUUGGUAGUUGCAACAUCCACAUGACUCAAACCAAUGAGAUACUGUUCAGAAUUGUACCGGUAUUGAUUCAUGGACCUUCAAAAGUAAUACGAACCUAUGCGUUCAUAGACGACGGGUCAGAGCUGACACUAAUGGAACAAAGUCUCGCAGACGAAAUAGGAGUUUGGGGCCCAAAGUCAUCCCUGUGCCUUAAAUGGACGGGGGGCACGAACCGAGUGGAAGACGAAUCUCGAAAGGUUGCCGUGGAGAUAUCUGCUGUAGGAUUCGACUCUAGGCGACACCAGUUGACAAAUGUGCAGACAAUUCACGACCUACAACUACGCCCGCAAACCAUGGUGCUUUCUGAACUACAAGAACGAUUCAGUUACCUUAGCGGAUUACCAGUGGAGUCUUACAUCAAUGUCUGUCCUCGUAUCCUUAUCGGGCUGGAUAAUGCGUAUCUCGGACAUGUGCUGAAAAGUCGAGAAGGAAAACCACGCGAACCCAUCGCCGUCAAAACGCAACUAGGAUGGAUAAUCUAUGGCAGUUGUAACCAAAAGCGGCGAAGCUCAAAUUACGUCAAUGUACACACCAUAAAAGUUUGUGACUGUAAUCCACAAACCGAUGAAAACCUGCAUCUUGCGAUGAAAACCUAUUUUGACCUUGACAGCCUGGGGAUUUCAACUCCGAACAAGACUCUUCGAUCGCCCGAAGAACAACGUGCCGUAGAACUCCUGGAAAAGCAGACCAUACCUAAAGCAGGACGAUAUGAAGCGGGACUACUUUGGAAGUAUGAAAACGUACGUCUUCCAAACAGCAAAGAUAUGGCAUACAAGCGAUGGCAAUGUCUAGAUAGACGAAUGAAUCAGGACAAGCAACUAUCGGCAACUAUCCAACAAAAAAUGGCAGAUUACGUGUCUAAAGGGUACGUGCGAAAGCUGACGGAACCUGAACUCAACGUUCGUCCAGCUCGCGAGUGGUACUUACCGGUCUUUCCAGUUAUGAAUCCCAACAAGCCGAAUAAGGUUAGGCUGGUAUGGGAUGCAGCAGCCUGUGCAUAUGGAAUAUCACUCAAUUCGUUACUUCUAAAAGGUCCAGAUCUCCUUACGUCUCUCCUUACGGUGCUCAUUCAAUUUCGAGAAUUCCGUAUCGGAAUAUGCGGAGAUAUCCGUGAAAUGUACUUGCAAAUAUUGCUUAGCAAAGAUACUCGAUUGCGCUUCUUCUGGAAAGAGAACGAACAUGAUACAAGUCCACAAGUCUUCGAAAUGCUGGUAUUGCCUUUUGGAGUUUCGUGUGCGCCGACUAUAGCCCAAUAUGUUAAAAACAUCAACGCCAAACAAUUUGAACACGAGCUUCCUACGGUGGUUCGGGCAAUAGUUGAACAACAUUACGUCGAUGACAUGCUUUCGAGUGUCGAAACUGAAGGAGAAGCCAUUGCCUUAGCAAGCAACGUAAAACAAAUCCAUGCAGCAGCCGGAUUCGAAAUGAGGAAUUGGAUUUCGAAUUCUGCAACUCUUCUAGAAGCGCUGGACGAACCGAAAACGGAGGAAAAAGAUCUAACAAUAGCCGAAGAAGGUGUGACUGAGAAAGUGCUUGGAUUAUGGUGGAAUACAAACACGGAUUGCUUCACCUUUAAGGUAUCGCCACGAUAUGAUCCUGAGUUGAUAUCAGGAAUGCGAAUUCCGACCAAACGUGAAGUGUUGAGAACCCUAAUGAUGAUAUUUGAUCCAUUGGGGCUCAUAGGUCACUUCCUUAUGUUCCUUAAAGUGAUUUUGCAAGAGAUCUGGAGAACGUCUGUAACCUGGGACGAUCCUAUUGAGGAAAUUCAAUUUGAAAAGUGGUUGCAGUGGCUGAAAGUGUUGCCUGAGGUAGAAAAGGUGGAAGUUCCUCGGUGCUACAGGUCAACGAUAUCGAUCGAAAGUGCUAUGGAGGUGCAAAUGCAUGUUUUUGUUGAUGCGAGUGAAAAUGGAUUUGCAGCGGUAGUGUACCUCCGAUUUCAGCAAGGCAACUUGACUGAAACUGCGUUGGUGGGAUCUAAAACCAGAGUUGCUCCGUUAAAAUUCUUAUCGAUUCCCCGUUCCGAACUUCAAGCUUGUGUUAUUGGAGCCCGAUUUUCCACCAGUAUACUCAAAUCGCUGACUGUAAAGGUAGACAGACGUUUCUUCUGGACCGACUCUAGCGACGUUAUCAGUUGGAUUAAUAGCGACCAUCGCCGGUAUAGUCAAUUUGUAGCCUACCGGAUCAGCGAGAUACUUGACACUACCGAAAUGCACGAAUGGCAAUGGCUCCGAACCCAAUCCAAUGUAGCCGACGAAGGAACGAAGUGGAAGCGGGUUCCUGACUUGAGGAAUACUAGUCGAUGGUUUACUGGACCUGAUUUUUUGAAGAAACCAAUCAACGAAUGGCCGGUAGAGUUAGCGGCUCCAAAAGCGACCAAUGAGGAACUUCGUCCACAUCUACUCGUCCACGUUGUAGUGCCCGGUCCUGUUAUAGAUCCAGAAAACUUUUCCCAGUGGACACCUCUAGUGCGACGGGUAGCAUUAGUUUUCCGCUUCAUUAGCAACGUAAGAAUUUCUGAUGCUGAGCAGCGAAGCAAAGGAUCACUUACGACUUGCGAACUAGUACGAGCAGAAAGAUAUUUGUACCGUUUUGCACAAUGCUGUGCAUACGCGGAUGAAAUAGCAGUAUUGACAAAUAAGCGCGUAUCAAACGGUAAUGAGAUGUCGGUACCAAAGAGUAGCCCAAUAUAUCAGCUUUGUCCCUUCCUCGAUGAACAUGAUGUCCUCCGUAUGCGAGGCCGAACCGCCGCCUGUCCGUUCGUCGAUCAACAUGCUGUCAACCCAAUCAUUCUUCCAAGGAAUCAUCAAGUCACCCGACUGGUAGUGGGUCAUUAUCAUCGAAUGUAUCACCACCAAAAUCAUAACACUGUCCUCAACGAGCUUCGACAGCGGUACGUCAUAUCACGUUUAAAGGCCACCUUCAACAAGAUCCGUCGUGAUUGCCAGCAGUGCAAGAAUGAUCGCAUACGCCCUCUGGCACCCAUUAUGGGUAAUUUGCCUGUGGCUCGUCUGGCCGCCUACAGCCCUCCAUUUAGCCAUAUGGGUGUCGAUUAUUUUGGGCCUUUAUCAGUCAGUGUUGGGCGCAGGUCUGAAAAGCGGUGGGUCCUCCUAGCAACUUGCCUUACCACGCGGGCUAUCCAUCUUCAAGUUGUGCACUCCAUGACCACCAAUUCCUGUAUUAUGGCUAUAAGAAACGUUAUGGCCAGAAGAGGUACACCUGCUGUUAUUUACAGUGACAGAGGUACGAACUUUCAGGGAGCAUGCUCAGAAUUGGAGACCGCAAUGAAGAACUUAGAUAAUGAGAGACUGGCAAAGGAAUUCACCACUUCGAAUACUACCUGGACGUCCAUCCCUCCCGCAUCUCCACACAUGGGUGGAGCGUGGGAACGCUUGGUCAGAACGGUUAAGCAGAACUUAGACCGGAUCAAACCUAGCGAAAGUAUGCCACACGAAGUCCUGGAAAACAUGCUUAAUGAGGUUGAGAAUAUUAUUAAUUCUCGACCGUUGACGUCGAUCCCUAUCGAUAAUGAUCAAUCUCCAGUCUUGACGCCCAACCAUUUUCUUUUGGGGUCAAGCAAUGGGAUGAGGUCAUGGGUCCCGCUUGAUGAUAGUCCUAGAACACUGAAGAGCAGUUGGCAUUUCUCCCAAAUCUUGGCCAAUCGUUUUUGGAAGCUUUGGCUACAGGAUUACCUGCCAUCAAUCACCCGCCGAACCAAAUGGUUUACAGAAACCAAGCCAAUCAAGGUCAACGAUAUUGUUAUAAUAGUGGAUCCUAAGCUUGCCCGGAACUGCUGGCCUAAGGGGAGGGUAAUAGGUAUCAAGAAGAGUACAGAUGGACAAGUACGGAGCGCUACAGUGCAAACUUCCAGUGGCAUAUACGAACGACCAACAGUUAAGCUCGCCGUGCUUGACGUAGGCGUCGAAGAAAAUGCGCAUCCAGACGACCAGAAGCGCAUUCUGGGGGGCGCUGUUGAUUCCGCUACGUCGACACUCCGUCGAGCCCCCGAUGCCCCAGUUUCGACCACACCCGACGGCCAUCAAAGGGAUUGUUUCGUGCACGAUAGACGUCAGACCCCGUAGGUAGAAACAAUAGGGACACAGAACAAGCAAGUGAAUGUGAUGACAUGCAGAUCACUCUAGAAGCUAAAAUUAAAAUAAUUUGGAUUAAGUGAAUUACUUAUGCUCUAAUGAAAUGAAUUCCAAGUGCUACUUAUUAUCUAACUGUUUAGAUACCAUGCAAGUAAUUUAAACAUCUAAAUGGUGAAACUCGUGAUCUAUAUGCUAGUUGUUUCUUAUUGCAGUUUUUGAAGUAGCUUACUGGAAUUGUACUACACAUGAAUUCGUAGAUAUAUAUAAAAUUACAGAUAAGGGUGAGACAGAUUAUUUGGCAAAAUGCUUUGAUUAUAUCUACAUAUAUUUUUUCUUUAAUAGCAUAAAUUUAAGGAAGUGCAUUCAAAACUAGUAACUAGGAUACAUACACUUAAACACUAAAUUGAACUACGACACUUGUCACAGGGAAGAAUUUAUAAGUUGAAGAAUCAACGCAUCAACUAGAACGGUUGAGCGGUAACGAAUUACUACAAGAAUUUUGUAAUUUAUUCUUCGUAUCAUCUCACCAAUAAAUUCACAUAAUUGACUAUUCGUCUAUUACCGCCCAACAGGCACAGACAAACAGACGUAACACUUGCGAAUUUUCCAUCGACCACGCUUUUAACGAUCAUUUUAAAUUUUCAUAGUUGUGUCUUUCACAACCAGAGGCGCGCGCAUCGUUUUUUCUAUGCGUUUGACGUUUCACACUAGCGCCUUCGAUAUUGCACAACACAGUGAUUCGUGCAACUUUUCCACCAGGUGCUGGUAGUGUGAACUGGGCGACGGAUUUUUAUGAAAAUCGUUCAAGGUGUUACGUCUGUUUGUCUGUGGUAAUGGUUCAAUAGGGUGUUAGCAAUCAGAGUGGAUUAGAACGAGUUGGCGUCUACAAUACACCAACACUAACACACGCACUCCAAUACUUACACGCACACAUGCACCUACAACUAGCUGUAAAAAACCAGUGGGCGGGACAAUGGUGCCUACCCAACAGUUGUAGGUGAGGUGUUUGGCUUAGCUACAUGACGUGGUCCGGCAAGCCCAUAAAUAUCAAUUGGUAGACGUAUUGCCUAGUGAAAAGACAACGCAGAUGGGCGAAAGCCAGGGGAUGCGUUGAUAAUAGCAGAAUAGCAGAAUAGAAAUAUUUUCAGGCUCAGUGAACUCAAUAUUCAUCGAUGCACUCGUCUAUAGUGACUGUACGUUGGAUUGGGAGUGUUUCAAGACAUCUAUAGACGACUGCACCGAUGAACAUAGUCCAUUUUACGAGCCGAUUUUAUGAAUGAAUUUUGACAGGAGGUAGCGUCCAAUAACCCGUGAAAAUCAAUAUCAUCAUCAACAUUGUUGUCACUUCGUAAAAUGGCUCAUUGAGUUCACUGAGCCUGAAUUUUUUUGACAGCACAGCGGGGUCGACUCUCAACAACUUCUACUCAGAUAUGCAUUACCAAAAUGUACUGAUAAUUUUUUUCUUUGAUUUCUUGCAUGACGUUUUAUUUAAAGUGAUGCAUAUGCAUAUAGUUAAUGCACAAGCCCAUAUUUUUGCAACUUUAUCACGAAUACUAGAUGCAAUAAAUUAAACAAAUUUUCAGCUGGGUAGAAGUUGAGUCGACCCCGCUGUGGUGACAAAAUUCGCUGCCCGAGUGAACUUUCAGCGGGCGGUGCACUCAUCUAUUUGUGAAGCGUUUCCAAGCCUCAUGAACGUAGCUGAGGUGCGAUUCAAACUAGCAAAGCGAUUCGGGAACGUUCAAAAAUUACGUCAAACAUUUUGGGGGAGAGGGGAGGGGUCUAAGAAAGUGUGACAGUACGUGUAUUAGGUAUAGCGUGACAGAGGGUGGAUGGAGGGAAGGGGUCUAGAAAUCCCAAAAAACGAUGAACGUUAUAAAUGAAUCUUCCCUUCCGUGAUAUGGAUGAAGAUGUGUUAAAGGUGCGACUGAAAACCUCAGCAUGCCAUGACUUUAGUUUGUAGAUUUGAAUUUUUGAAUAAAAUUAUUAGUUGUUAUUUGACCGUCUAGCAAUCAAGUUGUUUUAUUGCAUUCGGUCCGACCUACUAUAACUUAGGGGUUCGCAUGCAACUUACCUUAACCUCAGGGGCUGCCUACUCUGCCGUUCGAGGGAAUCUUAGGGUGGGCCCGCGCCGUCGCUCCGCUUACAGCGUCGUCACAACCGAUGGUGGAGAUGAGGGGGGGCGUCGAGGCCGAUUUGUAGAGCUAGAGGGUCGUCUUGGCACACGCGGCGGAGAGCUUCUCUGGCGUCCGCUCUUCGACACACUCACUGACGGUCAGCACUCGGACACUCGCGACGGAGGGCGUUGAUAGAUCUCGGUCGAGGUCUUUACACACGCGUGGGACUUCCCGUAAUUUCGGAUUUCGUUCUUAAAUCCACUUUUCGCACUAGGGUGGCCCGUUAUAGUCUGGAUCCGACACUAAUUGGCACUAAUUGGGUGCUUCUGACCGGAAUUAUGCGAUUAACCUUUCCGACACUUGUCUGACCGCGCACUUCAAGAACCGGGCACCUUAUUUAAUUCGCCACCGCACUUUUGCACGCGUUGUGUGCCUAACAGUAGUAUCACUACUCCACUUGCUCGAAUCAAGACCGUCUCGAUUGCUGGUUCAAAACUGAAUCCCCCAGCCUCGGAGCUAUUUCUCCACGAACCCCAUCGUUGGGGCUUUCUCUCGCCUCUCUCGCAGUUGAGGAAUUUCCUGCUCACCACGCAUGCCAACUGCAUUCAUCGUGGUAGCGGGUAUACAGUAUGCGGCAGGAAAAAAUGCGAAAGUGUUUUUCAACUUCAAACCUCAUUUUCGUCCAUUUGACAUUAACCAAUCUAUGUUUCAACGUUCCAUGAUCUAUAAUGGGCUAGUUUUCUGAAAAGUUAAUUAAAAAAUUUCCCAUUUUUGUCACUAACCUUUACAGGGCGGCGCCUGAAGAUGAAGACAACCAGAAUUUUCAAACCGCAGAAAAUCGCACAGGUCGCUAAAUUUCGCAUCUGAUAAAACAAAAAUUUUGAUUUUCUCUACAAUAUCAUCAAAUAUAUAUACUUAUUUCAUCUGGUAUGUGAAACUACAUUGCUCUGGAUCAGUGUGGUCUGGUUGUUCAUCGAAUUUGAGCUAAUUUUGUUACUGUUAUAGUCAUUUUGUUUAAUGACCAUUGGGCGCGCAGUUUAUUGAUAUCCGUUUAUUAGGCCUACAUUAUCACAUGUUAAACAUCAAAUGUGUUCAUUUUUAUUUUUCAGUGCUAGAAUAUAGACAUUGACUGAUACACUGUCAUGAAAAAAUAGUCAUAUAUAUCCCAUAUUUAGCGUGUAAUAGUGCCUUGAACUUUUCGCAUUUUUUCCUGCCGCACCCUGUA